AUAUCGGCGAUAAAGGUUAUCCUUGGAGAGGAUGGUUCAAACAGAGGUAUCUUGAUAGCUUAUUUUUGCUCUUUCAGCUGUAACUCUUUUGCUCUAUGAGCUUCGUAAUCUCAAACUUUUAUAAUCACCUGGGCAGGGGCACAAAAGUUAGCAAGAAUAAGGGAGAACAGCAACUUUUUCAGGGCUGAGUUGCAGAAGAUGGGGUUUGAAGUUCUUGGAGACAAUGAUUCACCAGUCAUGCCAAUAAUGCUUUACAAUCCAGCAAAAAUUCCAGCAUUCUCAAGGGAAUGUUUGCGAGAAAACGUUAGUUUCUCUUGCUUUUCUUAAAAAAUAUUUUUUUUUGCUUCCACACAAGAGACUCACCUCCUAUGUUCAACGGAUAAUGAAAUUUGUGAACAGUUGGCGGUGGUGGUCGUCGGUUUCCCAGCUACACCCCUAUUGCUAGCCAGGGCUCGUAUUUGCAUAUCCGCAUCUCACUCAAGAGAAGAUCUUAUAAAAGCCCUACAGGUAAAUGAAAUCUUGCAUUGAGUUCACUGGUUCUCACUCCCAUAUCAUUUACCACGAAGAGCCCUAGUAGUAUUAGUAUAAAACACGAGUUCUCGGGUUUCUAGAUAGGUCUAUGUAAAUAAAGCCUUUCUCAGAAAGGGAAUCUGCAGUUCAUCCACAAGAUGGAUUCACACGUUUUAAUAUUCUCCGUGUUAUGAUAGGUUAUAAGCAAAGCAGGUGACCUUACCGGGAUCAAAUAUUUUCCGGCAGCUCCAAAAAAGCAAGAAGUAGAGAAAAAUGGCAUCAAAUUGGAUUAAACCCGUAAGGCAACAGUUUCUUUCCAAGAGAUGUUUGGCUAGCAAUUAGCUGUAGUGUACAA
rnacentral:lncRNA from 1 species